rnacentral:rRNA from 1 species
UACGGAGGAUGCGAGCGUUAUCCGGAUUUAUUGGGUUUAAAGGGUGCGCAGGCGGAGGUGCAAGUCAGUGGUCAAAUUGCGGGGCUCAACCCCGUACUGCCGUUGAAACUGGCUGGCUUGAGUUGGGGAAAGGCAGGCGGAAUGCGCGGUGUAGCGGUGAAAUGCAUAGAUAUCGCGCAGAACCCCGAUUGCGAAGGCAGCCUGCCGGCCCCACACUGACGCUGAGGCACGAAAGCGUGGGUAUCGAACAGG